UGACGCGCUCUCAUUAAAAGUCACAUUUCAUAAGUAAUUAAACCUAAACGCCUCAAACUAACGCUAAUAAUUGUGAGAUGAAGUGCUGGACUACUUAUAUAACAGGGACAAAAGUGGAUUUACGUGAUUAAUGAAUGAAAACAAGAAAAAAAGCGAAAAAAAAAUCUUCGCUCAAUAAAAUAAAUAAAUAGAUAAAAUAAAUGUAUUGAAUAUUUAUAAGUGAUGGUUACAUUAAUAACACAAUCAACAACAAAAUAAACAGCAAGAGGAAGAGGAAGAACAAGAGGAAGAGGAAGAGGAAGAACAAGAGGAAGAGGAAGAGGAAGAACAAGAGGAAGAGGAAGAGGAAGAAGAAGAGGACCACAAGGAUAUUCUAAGAACACAAGACUCGAUCACCUAAGAUCAAGAUCAAGAUUACCCUCCUGAUCCGCCGCCAUUACAUGAGGACAGUAACAGCUUGCGGUCUUCAAAGCUUUCUUCUUCGCAUAUCAGCAGGGAAGGACGCUAACAGCUGGUCCUGAAAGCUUCCUUGACUCGCUAAGGAAAGUAACUUAACAACUAUUACUACUAAUAUAUGAAGUAUUGAAGUCACUGUGGGCCCUUAGCUAAGCAAGUUUCGGUGGUAUAAUAUUAAUAAUAGUAAUAUGAGAGGUAGUGAGAUGUGAGCCCCUUGUGUUUACAUACGUAUCUUAAAUGAAUGUUCACAGCCAUGUCCUCACUGAUACACUAUAUUUUGCAGUGUUAUUGUGUAUUGUAAGCUUUCUUGGCCUGUAAAGCUUAGUGUGGGAGUAGCUGGUGGUCCUGCAUCUGCAACCACUACCAAGGGGCCUCAGUUUUCCCCAGACUGGAGGAAAAUGGUGCGUGUGUAGCAGUGAGGUGGGUAAGCAGGUGGAGAGCAGGUGAGGUAGAGCAGGUAGCAGGUAGGUGGCGCCUCACAGGAUCACUGAAGGAUUAAAACAUUUGGAAGUGAAUUUCAGUGAGAAGCUUCAUCCUAAGAUAAUGAAAUGUAUUGUUUAGAAAGACAAGAGUAAAGAAAAUAUGGUUGAAUAUUUGCUUGCUAAAAAUGUUUAUCUUCAAAGUGUACACAACUACUACUUGUAUGAUAGUUAGCUUGUAUGAUAGUUAAGUCAGUGUUUGAUAAGCCUGCCAAUGGUAACACUGUACACAACAUAUUAGGUUAGGUUAGGUUAGGAAACUUGAGAUGAAGUUACAGAGAGAAGGAUAGAAGCCAUAGGAGGGUAGUCUGGAAAUGAAAGCUUUGUGCCAGACUAUGAAAAGCUUGUGAUAUGUCCAAGGCAACAGCAAAAGUUUCACCAAAAUCUCUAAAAGAAGAUGACCAAGACUCAGUAAGGAAAGCCAGAAGAUCACCAGUAGAGCGGCCUUGACGGAACCCAUACUGGCGAUCAGAUAGAAGGUUGUCAAGUGAUACAUGUUUAACAAUCUUCCUGUUGAGGAUAGAUUCAAAAACUUUAGAUAGGCAGGAAAUUAAAGCAAUAGGACGGUAGUUUGAGGGAUUAGAACGGUCACCCUUUUGUUGUUGUUGUUGUUGGUAGUGAUGGUGGUUGUGGUGAUAACCAUAGUAGUGGUAGUGGUAGUAGUAGUAGUAGUGGUAGUAGUAGUAUUGUGCAACUACUACUACUACUACUACUACUACUACUACUAUUAUUAUUAUUCCUACCACUACUACUACUACCACUACUAUAUUUUUCUGUUCCUACUACUACUACUAUUACUACUACUACUACUACUACUACUACUACUACUACUACUACUACUACUACUACUUAUUGCAGGAGUGUCUUGUGAAAUGACCCAGGAAAUGAAGAAUGGCUUUAGUGUGCCUGUGAAGAAGACACUGAAUUACAAAACAGUCAUAGAGGUUUUCUGUUUCCCGCCCUUCAAGUUGCUACUACUACUACUACUACUACUACUACUACUAUUAAUAAUGAGGAGCCUCGCUGUGUGGUUGCUGGGGGAUUUUAGACGAGUGUGUCAAGAAAACGGAGAACGGAGCGGUGAGGAGGCUCGCUGUGUGGGCCAGGACAAUGACAGCACCUACACUAUCCUGGACCUCUACUACUACUACUACUAUUACUGCUACUACUACCACUGCUACCAACACUGGCCUCUAUGUUGGCCUGGUGUUUGGGUUAAUUUUGUGUCUAAUGUUUGUGGCAACACUGUUCUUCCUUAGACGGAGACAGAGAAGAGGAGGGGGAAGGAGCAGCCUGGAGGA